UACGUAGGGUGCAAGCGUUGUCCGGAAUUAUUGGGCGUAAAGAGCUCGUAGGUGGUUUGUCGCGUCGGCUGUGAAAACUCGGGGCUCAACCCCGAGCCUGCAGUCGAUACGGGCAGACUAGAGUGCGGUAGGGGAGACUGGAAUUCCUGGUGUAGCGGUGAAAUGCGCAGAUAUCAGGAGGAACACCGGUGGCGAAGGCGGGUCUCUGGGCCGUAACUGACGCUGAGGAGCGAAAGCGUGGGGAGCAAACAGG
rnacentral:rRNA from 1 species